AUUGAACGCUGGCGGCAUGCCUUACACAUGCAAGUCGAACGGCAGCAUGGGUGCUUGCACCUGAUGGCGAGUGGCGAACGGGUGAGUAAUGCAUCGGAACGUACCCGGAAGUGGGGGAUAACGUAGCGAAAGUUACGCUAAUACCGCAUAUUCUGUGAGCAGGAAAGUGGGGGAUCGCAAGGCCUCGCGCUUCCGGAGCGGCCGAGGUCGGAUUAGCUAGUUGGCGGGGUAAAGGCCCACCAAGGCAACGAUCCGGAGCGGGUCUGAGAGGAUGAUCCGCCACACUGGUACUGCGACUCGGCCCAGACUCCUACGGGGGGCAGCAGUGAGGAAUUUUGGACAAUGGGGGCAAGCCUGAUCCAGCCAUGCCGCGUGAGUGAAGAAGGCCUUCGGGUUGUAGAGCUCUUUCGGCCGGGAAGAAAUCGCACAGGUUAAUACCUUGUGUGGAUGACGGUACCGGAAUAAGAAGCACCGGCUAACUACGUGCCAGCCGCCGCAGUAA
rnacentral:rRNA from 1 species